UCUGACACAGGUGCUGCAUGGCUGUCGUCAGCUCGUGUCGUGAGAUGUUGGGUUAAGUCCGUAACGAGCGCAACCCUUGUCCUUAGUUACCAGCACGUUAUGGUGGGCGACUCUAAGGAGACUGCCGGUGGACAAACCGGAGGAAGGUGGGGGAUGACGUCAAGUCAUCAUGGCCCUUACGGCCUGGGCUACACACGUGCUACAAUGGUCGGUACAAAGGGUUGGCCAAGCCGCGAGGUGGAGCUAAUCCCAUAAAACCGAUCGUAGUCCGGAUCGCAGUCUGCAACUCGACUGCGUGAAGUCGGAAUCGCUAGUAAUCGUGAAUCAGAAUGUCACGGUGAAUACGUUCCCGGGCCUU
rnacentral:rRNA from 1 species